GAGUUUGAUCCUGGCUCAGGAUGAACGCUGGCGGCGCGCCUAACACAUGCAAGUCGAACGGCACCCCUCUCCGGAUAGAAGCGAGUGGCGAACGGCUGAGUAACACGUGGAGAACCUGCCCCCUCCCCCGGGAUAGCCGCCCGAAAGGACGGGUAAUACCGGAUACCCCGGGGUGCCGCAUGGCACCCCGGCUAAAGCCCCGACGGGAGGGGAUGGCUCCGCGGCCCAUCAGGUAGACGGCGGGGUGACGGCCCACCGUGCCGACAACGGGUAGCCGGGUUGAGAGACCGACCGGCCAGAUUGGGACUGAGACACGGCCCAGACUCCUACGGGAGGCAGCAGUGGGGAAUCUUGCGCAAUGGGGGGAACCCUGACGCAGCGACGCCGCGUGCGGGACGGAGGCCUUCGGGUCGUAAACCGCUUUCAGCAGGGAAGAGUCAAGACUGUACCUGCAGAAGAAGCCCCGGCUAACUACGUGCCAGCCGCCGCGGUAAUAC
rnacentral:rRNA from 1 species